GGCUUCGGCCGGGCCCACGUGGCAGCGAGAGAGAGACCUCGCGGGGCGGCCGCAGCUUCGUGGAAGCUUCCCCCGAACAAUCUCCUCGAGAACGAGUCCCCAUUCGCGACCGAAAUCCGGGCCGCAGAGACAGAAAAAACAAAACAAAUCACCAAGCUCCGCACCAGCACCACAGUGGCGAAGCCGCAACGUACUUGCGCCGGCCUCGCCCGUGGAACCUUCUAGAGCCUUGACGGCUUGCGCGGGAGGGUUUCUGGUCGUCGUCGUCGUCGUCGGUGUUAUCUCUCCUGCGAGCGCUGCCGCGGACGCGGCGGCUGGCUGGUGUCUGAUUGUCGGGCAUGGCGGUCGGGAGCUCGCCGACGCCGCCGGAGAUCCGCUCGCCGGAGCGGGACAGGCCGGAGGAUGCGGCGGGCGCGGAGGGCGAGGAGGAGGAGGAGGAGUUCGGUGACGCCUUCGAUAUACCCCAUAAGAACGCAUCCCACGACAGCUUGCUCCGAUGGAGGCAAGCUGCUCUUGUGCUGAAUGCUUCACGUCGGUUUAGAUAUACUCUAGACCUUAAAAAGGAGGAAGAGAAAGAGAUAAUUAGAAGAACAAUCCGAUCACAUGCACAAGUGAUACGGGCAGUAUUUCUUUUCAAAGAAGCCGGAGAAAAUGAUCCCAGAGAAGCUUAUACUGGUAUAAAAUUUACAACGGCCUCUCGAGGUUUUCCAAUUGAAAUGGAAAAGCUUAAAACUUUAAACAGAGAUCAUGACAGUGUUCUUCUUCAGGAAAUUAGAGGAGUUAAGGGGCUGUCAGAUUUAUUAAAGAGUAAUUUAGACAGGGGAAUUAAUCCAACUGAGGAUGAAUUGUUACAAAGGAGGGAUGUUUUCGGAGCAAAUACAUAUCCACGCAAGAAAAGAAAAAGCAUACUGCGUUUUGUAUUUGAUGCAUGCAAAGAUUUAACUCUCAUCAUUCUAAUGGUAGCUGCUGCCAUAUCUCUUACGUUGGGCAUGGCCACAGAGGGUGUCAAGGAAGGAUGGUAUGAGGGGGGGAGUAUUUUUUUAGCUGUUUUUCUUGUGAUACUUGUCACCGCAACCAGUGAUUACAGGCAAUCACUUCAGUUUCAACAUCUGAAUGAGGAGAAACAGAACAUACAAGUGGAGGUUCUUAGAGGUGGUAAAAGAUUUCGAACUUCAAUAUUUGACCUUGUUGUGGGUGAUGUGGUUCCCCUGAAUAUUGGUGACCAAGUUCCUGCUGAUGGUAUCCUGAUAUCUGGCCAUUCUCUUGCAAUUGACGAAUCAAGUAUGACUGGGGAAUCAAAAACUGUUCACAAGGAUCAAAAGGCUCCGUUCUUGAUGUCUGGUUGCAAGGUUGCAGAUGGCUAUGGUUCUAUGUUGGUAACAGGUGUGGGUAUCAACACUGAAUGGGGCCAGUUGAUGGCUAACCUUUCUGAAGAUAAUGGUGAAGAAACCCCAUUGCAGGUGCGUUUGAAUGGUGUUGCUACUUUUAUUGGCAUGGUGGGUCUGUCAGUAGCUGGUGUUGUACUUGGCGUGCUUGCGAUAAGAUAUUUUACUGGACAUACCAAGAAUCCGGAUGGGACUGUUCAAUUUCGGGCUGGAACUACUGGUCUCAAACAAGGAUUUAUGGGUGCAAUCAGAAUUUUAACAAUCGCCGUAACCAUCGUAGUUGUUGCUGUGCCUGAGGGACUUCCACUGGCCGUAACAUUGACACUUGCGUAUUCAAUGCGAAAGAUGAUGCGAGACAAGGCGCUGGUGAGGCGGCUCUCAUCUUGUGAAACAAUGGGAUCAGCGACUACUAUAUGUAGUGAUAAGACAGGAACUCUCACCUUGAAUAAGAUGACAGUUGUGGAGGCACACUUUAUCGGGACAAGGUUGGAUCCUUGUGAUGAUGUUAGGGCAAUCUCAAGUAGUUCAGCGGCACUGCUUAUUGAAGGAAUUGCACAAAACACUACAGGAACUGUAUUUUUGCCAGAGGAUGGGGGAGCAGCUGAUGUUACAGGUUCACCAACUGAAAAAGCCAUUCUUUCUUGGGGCCUUAAGAUAGGGAUGGAUUUCAAUGAUGUUCGGUCAAAGUCUUCAGUUCUUCAUGUAUUUCCAUUUAAUUCAGAGAAGAAGCGAGGUGGUGUUGCAGUGCAGUCAGAUACCGGGGUCCACAUCCAUUGGAAAGGUGCAGCUGAGUUAGUGCUAUCAUCUUGCAAAAGUUGGCUUUCUCUGGAUGGUUCAGUUCAGCCAAUGGGUGCACAGAAGCGUAAUGAGUACAAGAAAUCAAUUGAAGACAUGGCAAAGAGUUCACUACGAUGUGUUGCUUUUGCAUAUUGUCAAUGUGAUAUUGAAAAAAUUCCGAAGGAAGACAUAGCUGAUUGGAAGUUACCUGAGGAGGAUCUGACUCUUCUUGGUAUUGUGGGCAUAAAGGAUCCAUGUCGCCCAGGAGUGAGGAGUGCUGUACAAUUAUGCAAAAAUGCUGGUGUAAAGGUGCGCAUGGUCACAGGAGAUAAUAUUGAAACAGCCAAGGCAAUAGCGUUGGAGUGCGGAAUACUAGAUGCAAAUGGUGUUAUUUCAGAGCCAUUUGUAAUAGAGGGAAAAGCGUUCCGCGAGAUGUCUGAAAUUGCAAGAGGAGAGAUUGCUGACAAGAUAACUGUCAUGGGAAGAUCAUCUCCAAAUGACAAACUUUUGCUUGUCCAAGCUUUGAAAAGGAAAGGCCAUGUUGUGGCUGUCACUGGUGAUGGCACAAAUGAUGCCCCUGCAUUGCAUGAGGCUGAUAUAGGUCUUGCAAUGGGCAUGUCAGGGACAGAAGUUGCUAAAGAAAGCUCUGACAUUAUAAUCUUGGAUGAUGACUUCACAUCUGUUGUGAAGGUUGUUCGCUGGGGACGCUCUGUCUAUGCAAAUAUUCAGAAAUUCAUCCAGUUCCAGCUUACUGUUAACGUUGCCGCACUUGUGAUUAAUGUUAUUGCAGCUGUGUCAUCUGGUGACGUGCCUCUAAAUGCUGUUGAGCUUCUCUGGGUGAACCUUAUCAUGGAUACACUGGGAGCUCUUGCUUUAGCAACUGAACCACCAACAGACAACCUUAUGAAGAGACAGCCUGUUGGUCGAAGGCAUGGAGCCACUUGUGACCAAUAUUAUGUGGAGAAACUUGUUUGUCCAGGCCAUUUACCAAAUAGCAAUCCUUCUUAUCUUUAAUUUCUCUGGAAAAAAGAUUCUACGGCUGCAGAAUGAAAGUCCAGAUAACGCCGAGAAAAUGAAGAACACAUUUAUCUUCAAUACAUUUGUAUUUUGCCAGAUCUUCAACGAGUUCAAUGCGCGUAAGCCUGAGGAAAGGAAUGUCUUCAAAGGAGUAACAAAGAAUCACCUCUUCAUGGGAAUAGUUUGUGUAACUACCGUGUUUCAGAUACUAAUAGUUGAAUUCCUGGGAAAGUUCUUUAAAAUUGUGAGACUUAACUGGAGUCUAUGGUUAGUUUCAGUUGCCAUUGGCGUCGUAAGCUGGCCUUUGGCUUAUCUAGGGAAAUUCAUUCCAGUUCCUGUAAGACCUCUCCAGGCCUAUUUCAAGCCUUGUUGGAAAUCAUCACGCCGAGACGAAGAGGAAGGCAGGCAGGGCUAAAAAGGCUGCAGAUCACCUAGUGUAAAUAGACACGGGUCAGCCGAAGAACAGGAACCCGUACCGCCUCUCCCAGUGGAACAGAGCUGCGGAUUAUCUCUACUACAAGGAGAUGCAGUGAACUAGAAGCUUUCCAUGCAGGGACAGGUCAAGUGCAACCGUUGUUGUUAACCAUUAUGGUCAUGGGGCUUCAUCGUGAUGCAGGUUAAUAUAAAUGAAAAUCCUACCUGGGAAGACAAUCAGUAGCAUUGCCACGGAAGUGACUGUUUUGUGAAUGUUCGUUGACUACGGGAAGGUGACAUUUUUUAUGCAAAUAAGUUGUGGUAGCUAGGACACACAUCGUAGGCUUAGUACAGUCCUAGGUGCCUUGGGGGUGUCAGACCUUCAUUUUGUUCAGGUUGAGUAAACUAGCAAGCAAUAAGAAAGAAUUAGCCUGGUAAA